UACGUAGGGUGCGAGCGUUGUCCGGAAUUAUUGGGCGUAAAGAGCUCGUAGGCGGUCUGUCGCGUCUGCUGUGAAAUCCCGAGGCUCAACCUCGGGUCUGCAGUGGGUACGGGCAGACUAGAGGCAGGUAGGGGAGAACGGAAUUCCCGGUGUAGCGGUGAAAUGCGCAGAUAUCGGGAGGAACACCGGUGGCGAAGGCGGCCACCUGGACGGUCACUGACGCUGAGACGCGAAAGCGUGGGGAGCAAACAGG
rnacentral:rRNA from 1 species